UGGAGUGAAAUAUAAAACUAUAAAACUUAACUAGACCUCCCUAGAAUAAAUUGCCUUUCGAUGACCAGGACGAAUUGAGUGAAAUCGUCAUGGGCAGAUACGGGGCAGACAGUU